GCUCGAUGAGUAGGGCGGGACACGUGGUAUCCUGUCUGAAUAUGGGGGGACCAUCCUCCAAGGCUAAAUACUCCUGACUGACCGAUAGUGAACCAGUACCGUGAGGGAAAGGCGAAAAGAACCCCGGCGAGGGGAGUGAAAAAGAACCUGAAACCGUGUACGUACAAGCAGUGGGAGCACGCUUAGGCGUGUGACUGCGUACCUUUUGUAUAAUGGGUCAGCGACUUAUAUUCUGUAGCAAGGUUAACCGAAUAGGGGAGCCGAAGGGAAACCGAGUCUUAACUGGGCGUUAAGUUGCAGGGUAUAGACCCGAAACCCGGUGAUCUAGCCAUGGGCAGGUUGAAGGUUGGGUAACACUAACUGGAGGACCGAACCGACUAAUGUUGAAAAAUUAGCGGAUGACUUGUGGCUGGGGGUGAAAGGCCAAUCAAACCGGGAGAUAGCUGGUUCUCCCCGAAAGCUAUUUAGGUAGCGCCUCGUGAAUUCAUCUCCGGGGGUAGAGCACUGUUUCGGCAAGGGGGUCAUCCCGACUUACCAACCCGAUGCAAACUGCGAAUACCGGAGAAUGUUAUCACGGGAGACACACGGCGGGUGCUAACGUCCGUCGUGAAGAGGGAAACAACCCAGACCGCCAGCUAAGGUCCCAAAGUCAUGGUUAAGUGGGAAACGAUGUGGGAAGGCCCAGACAGCCAGGAUGUUGGCUUAGAAGCAGCCAUCAUUUAAAGAAAGCGUAAUAGCUCACUGGUCGAGUCGGCCUGCGCGGAAGAUGUAACGGGGCUAAACCAUGCAC
rnacentral:rRNA from 1 species